rnacentral:rRNA from 1 species
GACGAACGCUGGCGGCGUGCCUAAUACAUGCAAGUCGAACGCACUCUCGUUUAGAUUGAAGGAGCUUGCUCCUGAUUGAUAAACAUUUGAGUGAGUGGCGGACGGGUGAGUAACACGUGGGUAACCUGCCCUAAAGUGGGGGAUAACAUUUGGAAACAGAUGCUAAUACCGCAUAAAACCUAACACCGCAUGGUGUAGGGUUGAAAGAUGGUUUCGGCUAUCACUUUAGGAUGGACCCGCGGUGCAUUAGUUAGUUGGUGAGGUAAAGGCUCACCAAGACCGUGAUGCAUAGCCGACCUGAGGGGGUAAUCGGCCACACUGGGACUGAGACACGGCCCAGACUCCUACGGGAGGCAGCAGUAGGGAAUCUUCCACAAUGGACGAAAGUCUGAUGGAGCAACGCCGCGUGAGUGAAGAAGGUUUUCGGAUCGUAAAACUCUGUUGUUGGAGAAGAAUGUAUCUGAUAGUAACUGAUCAGGUAGUGACGGUAUCCAACAGAAAGCCACGGCU